rnacentral:tRNA from 1 species
GGAAGUGUGCCCGAACAUUAAGGAUUACUUUGAUAGAGUAAACAAUAGGGGUUNAAAUCCCCUCAUUCC